rnacentral:lncRNA from 1 species
UUGUAUUUCUGGUUGACUCUUAUUUAUGAUUUAGGUUUAGAUAUUUUGCCCGAUUUGAUGGUUGAUGGCAGCUUGGAUAACAUUCCACCCAUGGCUUAUCUCUUCCUUUGUGCAUAAAACGACUGCAGUGUUGUUUGCAGAGUUUAUUUACAUCCAUGUUCACCUUUAGUCUUUGUGUUUGUGUUCUCUUACUUUAUGUUCUGCUUACUUCUCUGACUUUCCUUGUGAAUAUGUGUUCUGUUCCUUUCAUUAUUAUUGAUAUGAGUAUAUAAUGCUUUAAAAUCUUCAGAAACUUCUAUAGUUACAGAUUCUCAUGUUUUCUUUUAAUAUCAUCAGAAUCACCAGUGUUAAGUUUUCAUCAAAUUCUAAACUAAAUCAUGGAGAACUGGGAAGAUGGCUUGGUGAUUGAAAACACUUGCUACUACAUUUCCUGAGGUUUGGAGUUUGGAUCCCAGCAAUAACUGUUCGAGAACCCUGCUAUUAAGGUAA